rnacentral:rRNA from 1 species
UGGGGAAUAUUGGACAAUGGGCGCAAGCCUGAUCCAGCAAUGCCGCGUGUGUGAAGAAGGCCCUCGGGUUGUAAAGCACUUUUNUCAGGGGCGAAAUCUGCAGGCUAUACCCUUGUAGUCUGACGGUACCUGAGGAAUAAGCACCGGCUAACUCCGUGCCAGCAGCCGCGGUAAUACGGAGGGGUGCAAGCGUUAAUCGGAAUUGCUGGGCGUAAAGCGUGUGUAGGCGGUUUGUUAGUCUGUUGUGAAAGCCCCGGGCUCAACCUGGGAAUGGCAAUGGAUACUGGCAAGCUAGANUGUGAUAGAGGAUGGUGGAAUUCCCGGUGUAGCGGUGAAAUGCGUAGAGAUCGGGAGGAACAUCAGUGGCGAAGGCGGCCAUCUGGAUCAACACUGACGCUNAGACACGAAAGCGUGGGGAGCAAACAGGAUUAGAUACCCUGGUAGUCCACGCCCUAAACGAUGCGAACUGGAUGUUGGUCUCAACUCGGAGAUCAGUGUCGAAGCUAACGCGUUAAGUUCGCC